rnacentral:rRNA from 1 species
GACGAACGCUGGCGGCGUGCUUAACACAUGCAAGUCUAGGAGAACGAGAAUCUUCGGAAUCUUUAGUAAACUGGCGAAAGGGUGCGUAACACGUAGGCAACCUGCCCUUGAGUGGGGAAUAACUCCGCGAAAGCGGGGCUAAUACCGCAUGACAUCAGGAUAACUCAUGUUGACCUGAUUAAAGAUUUAUUGCUCAAGGAUGGGCCUGCGUCCUAUUAGCUUGUUGGUAGGGUAACGGCCUACCAAGGCAACAAUGGGUAGCUGGUCUGAGAGGAUGAUCAGCCACACUGGCACUGAGAUACGGGCCAGACUCCUACGGGAGGCUG